CCACUCGGCCCACCAGCCUGCUAGACUGCCCGCCAACCAACGACCCACCAAGCUAAACGGGCGCUCCGUCGAGUCCUUCCGUUCUUCCCUCACUUGAGCCAGCCCCGGCCCAUGGCCAACAGAGCGGGCCCAGCGCUUUUCGGCCGCCACUCCAAAUCACUCACUCACUCUCUCACAGAGCUAGCCAGAGGGCCUGCCCAUCGAGGUCUCAGACCCCGGGCUCGGAAUCGUAGGCUGCCAGCUGCCUGCCAGCCAGCUCAUCCCACACCAAAUCCCGGACAACCUCCUUCAAUGGCCCAUUAAUCGACAACCUCCCCCCCCCAUCGGCCCACCGAUCGGAAGUAUAUUUUUGGCUGAUGUGGGCACCCGUUUCCUUCUAGUUCACGCUAGACUGAAGUGUGAUUGGAUCCCCUGAAUCAGGCUAGCUCUGACCAGAUUUGACCUCACAACGCCAACAUCCGCCACACUGAAAUAUACUAUCGGCUGGAGGCACAUCCAGAAAUUUCGGCUGAUUGGGCCAAAACGGAAGUCAAACGAAAGCGCUGGUAGGGUGACGACCAUUUGACACUCUGAAUUGGGACACUUCGAGCACGAUGGAGCUUUACCUUUUUGCGGCACUUCAUGGGCCGCCCCGGUCUCAUGGUUGUCGAUUUUUGACUCUGAUCUGAUGAAUGUUGGCUCGGUAUCCACGCUCACCCGGCCACUCUAUUGUAUCGCCCAGAUCACCUGGCUUCACUCAGUCACCCCCAAAGCCGAUCGUCUGUAGUCCAGCCCUCCCUAGUCAGCUAGUCAAGGCCACCCUAAGUCCUUUCCCAUGAUAUCCCUACACGCAUACAUAAGAAAGUAGAUCUUACUGAUGGACCUAAAAACGACCACGGGAGAUUCACUUGUAAACGAAUACUUUCGUCAGGCUGGCAAUGGUCAAUGUGGGUCCCUUUUUGGGUCCAUCAAUCCUAUUAGCAUAUGCAGGCAUAAAAAUUCUUAGAUGACGCGCA